rnacentral:rRNA from 1 species
CGUCUAUAUACGUAUAGCAUAUCAAUAAGCGGAGGAAAAGAAACUAACUAGGAUUCCCUCAGUAACGGCGAGUGAAGCGGGAAGAGCUCAAAUUUGAAAUCUUAAAGGGUUCUACCUUGACGAAUUGUAGUUUAAAGAAGUGUUUUCUGUUGGAGUUUUGGUAAAAGUUCUUUGGAAUAGGACAUCAUAGAGGGUGAGAAUCCCGUAUUUGACCAUUAUUUCCAGCUUUGUGAUACACUUUCAAAGAGUCGGAUUGUUUGGGAAUGCAGUCCAAAAUGGGUGGUAAAUUUCAUCUAAAGCUAAAUAUUGGCGAGAGACCGAUAGCGAACAAGUACCGUGAGGGAAAGAUGAAAAGAACUUUGAAAAGAGAGUUAAACAGUACGUGAAAUUGUCAAAAGGGAAGCGUUUGACACCAGUGUUGUUUUCUCGAAAAUCAAUUAAAAAAGGCCGGAUUUUGUGUUGUAUUGACUUUAUCAGCUUUCUGCACUCUUUUCUUGUCUUUUUUAAUGCACUUUUCGUUUAACAAGUCAACAUCAAUUUCUUUUGUUGUAAAAGGGUCAUUGGAAGGUGGCUUUCUUUUCGGAGAAAGUGUUUAUAGCCUUUGGCCUCUGCAAUCGGAGAGAUUGAGGUCUGCAGCGUAGAUCCUUCGGGGUUAGAUACAUUUGUGCUAAGUUAUAGCCUUUCAUAGACAACUUGUUGACUAUGAUCAGUCAUGUAGCUUACUCGCUUAUGCUAUUUUACCUACGCUUAGGAUGUUGAAGUCAUCGUAUCGCG